ACGCGAGCUGGGUUUAGAACGUCGUGAGACAGUUCGGUCCCUAUCCGCUGCGCGCGCAGGAAACUUGAGAAGGGCUGUCCCUAGUACGAGAGGACCGGGACGGACGAACCUCUGGUGUGCCAGUUGUUCCGCCAGGAGCACCGCUGGUUGGCUACGUUCGGAAGGGAUAACCGCUGAAAGCAUCUAAGCGGGAAGCCUGCUUCAAGAUGAGGUUUCCAUACCCUACGGGGUGAGAGGCACCCAGCAGAACACUGGGUCGAUAGGCCGGACGUGGAAGCGGGGACGAAAGACCCGUGCAGCUGACCGGUACUAAUCAGCCGACAACUUCAAC
rnacentral:rRNA from 1 species